UACGUAGGGCGCAAGCGUUGUCCGGAAUUAUUGGGCGUAAAGAGCUCGUAGGCGGCCAGUUGCGUCUGCUGUGAAAUCCCGGGGCUCAACCCCGGGCGUGCAGUGGAUACGGGCUGGCUAGAGGCAGGCAGGGGAGAGCGGAAUUCCCGGUGUAGCGGUGAAAUGCGCAGAUAUCGGGAGGAACACCGGUGGCGAAGGCGGUUCUCUGGGCCUGUACUGACGCUGAGGAGCGAAAGCGUGGGGAGCGAACAGG
rnacentral:rRNA from 1 species